AAAAAAAUCUUGUUUUGGUUAGCACAUGAAUAUGCUAUUGGUGAUACACAAUAUGUCAAUUGUUCUUGUGCUCAGCCAAUUGAAAGCACGAUCUACAUUGAGUGUUGAUGCAGUACAUGGUUCACAUAUUACAAGAAAAAUAAAUCAGUCGUUUCCAUUCAGUCAUGCAUUAGAGGAAGUACAACAACUAAUCUUGGCAUAUAGUGUCAUGCGAAUUCUGGUCGAAGUACCAACCUAGACAAAAGCGGAUGCAACUCCAAACCUAUCCUCGAAAAAAGACAUCAAGCUAAGUAACUAAGCUAAGGAUCAUUCUUCGGUAGAAGAUGAGUGGAAGUUAUAGACCAUAGCACCAUUGCUCCUUGUAACUCCUGAGCAUGAGAACACACAAAUGCUUCUAGAAAAGCUUCAGACCAGCACUAACAUUGCAAAGCAUGUCAGACAACCCUGUUAACAAGAAUCAGUAGAAUCAGAAAAUAAACAUUAGCUAACCACAAGUACUCAAGACUGCAAGGCAAAAGAUGCAGCAAUAAGAUGAUAUAUCAUUACACUGCAACUUCAUUAUUUACAGCUAUGGGGUAUAUCACCCAAUCGAAAGAAAAAAAACAGUAUGUGCCUUGUUCUAGCUACUAAUAAGAUGUUAGCAGUUGGCCACUGAAAAAGAGCUAAAUUAAUUCAUCAUACAACACUACAACUUCAUUUCUUUACAGUUGUGGGGUAUAUCACCCAAUCGAAAGGGGGAAAAUAGUAUGUGCCUUGUUCUAGCCACUAACAACAUAUCAGUAGUUGGCCACCAAAACAGGGCUAAAUUAAUUUGCCAUACAACAUAUUAGCUAUAUCAUGUGUGAAUUGACCCGAAAAGAUAAUUGCAGAAGAACAUAACCAUGAAACUAUCUAGCCGCCAAUGAAGAAAGAUUGUAGAUACUGAAAAGAUAUACAGAAGGUUUCUUGGUGCACUGGGUGAAUUUAAUUGUAACAUGACAGAUGCAGAUGGAGUGCAGCGAAUGAAAAUGAAAUGCUCUCAUUUUGUAUCAUGCUGAUGCGAUAACCAUAUGAAGAAUUGACAUGGGCACAUUGCCAGACUAAAAUGCUCAGUCAAGUUAAAUGGAAAAGAAGAUGCAAGUAAAAGAAGAGUAUUCAAGCACACAACAACAACAAUGCACUGAAUGAGAAGCAUUGAAAGUAUGAGGGGAAGCCCUACCAAUUUGGUGCUGCCUGAUGAGAGAAGAGCCAUCCAUGAAAACAAAUGCAGCUUCAUUAUUGUAUUCAGUUAUAGAGAUGUUGCUCAUCUAAAUAAGAUUGCAGAAGAAAAUGCAUCAUGACACAUUCUAUAUUGCAAAAAAUAGGACACCAAAGUACUUGAUGACUUAAAGUGCUCUACACGAGUGCACCUCAAUCAAACCCGUCCAUGACUAAGGACAAAGACAAUUUGCAUGUAAAAUAUUUUAUGGUGAUAAAUGUCAUUCCCAAACCCGCCCAUGACUAAGGACAAAGACAAUUUGCAUGUAAAAUAUUUUAUGGUGAUAGAUGUCAGAAUGAGUGAAGGUGAACCAAAAUUCACGUUAACAUGAUGUUGUUUAUAAUUAGUUGACAAAUCAGAUUACUUUCUGCUGGAAGAACUGAAAAAUAUAAAAACCCUGAUGAUUAAAAAGCAACAUAGUUUGAAGAAAUGCAAUCGUGUGGUAAGAGAAAGUAGGCGACUUAGAUCAUCUGGGGUUUGAAUAACUUAGCUUAAUCUCUCUAUCUUUGUUAGUGAACAGAAAAUUGAAUCUGAGAGGACUCGUUGUACUCUAUCCUAUGGUGCAGAAAUUAAGGGGGGUGACCGCAGAAUUCAAAGAUUCUAAAACUUUCUAAAAAAUGUCACAUCCACCGCUAUGUCUUCUGAAAGUAAGUAGUGCAUCAGAGGGUACGUGUAUGAAAUGUGGGCUAUUAACUAAAGGAUAGAAAAGUAAGAACAUGUCGAGAUAGCCGAUGUAUUGAUGGAGAAAGACUCGUGAUAUACAACCACAUCACAAGAGAGUGCAACCACAAUAAUAGCGAGGAUAACAAACCGAGACCAAUCAGAAGUAACUGGACCUAGCUCAAAGAGAUCCAAAACAGUACCUGAACUGCAGAGACGAUCCACUCAGUACACUGAACGCCGAAUCGAAGUCGAGAAUGAUCUCACUCGUGCGAUUUCUGACAAAAAAACGAAAAUCCCAGGCCACCAUAUGGAUGGCAUAGCAUCAAACACCUAAUGAGCAUGAAUCGACCAACAUACAUAUGAAUCCAAGGACACCGAAAACACUAAAUCACACGGAAGAAUAGCAGAAACGCAUCUUGACGACGAACGAGGCAGAAGGCCCAGCACAGGAAGAUGAACAACACGAUCGAUCGAUGAAAGGCGACAAAACCGGUGCUCACCCGACAACAACCUGCAAACAGAGGAAAAAAACAUGCAAAAAUUGCAUAAAAGACUUGCUUCACUAAAAACAAAAAAAAUAAAAUAAAGGUGAUUUCAAGGGAGGAACGAUCAACACAUCAAAAUGUACUCUUUUUUGAGGUUGUUCUGAUGCAAUUUUACUACUACAAACAGGAGCAGUUAACCAAACUCUGCCAAACGUAUAUAGAUGGAGGAAUUUCAGAAGCAAUAACUACCAGUCUACGAUUAUCUGGCCAUCACACCACCCAAAUCAAUGUUAACCGUCUUGCCAGGAAGAGGGAGAAGGAGAGGGGAAGGAAGAGGAGGAAGAUCUUACUGAUCAGAGAAGCCGGAGGCGGACCGCGGAACGGCUUGGUGGUGCUCCCGACCCUCACCGACGCCGGCGCACGGGAGGGGGCUCACCUCUGAUCUUG
rnacentral:lncRNA from 1 species